UAAAGCACUCAGCACAGUGCCUGCUGGCCCACCCUACGUACUCAACAAGUGUUUGCCAUGAUUACUGGGAUGGUAAACAUUUCUGGAAAAUUAAGGAAUUCUCUAUAUGAUGGAUACCUUUCUGGCUGGAAUGUAGGAUGCUUUCCCCAAAGUACUCCAAUGCAGCAAUCCCCAACCCUUUUGGCACCAGGGACUGGUUUCGUGGGAAGACAGUUAUUCCAUGGAGCCAGAUGGUUUCAGGAUGAUUCAAGCGCAUUACACGUAUUGUGCAGUUUAUUAUUACAUUGUAAUAUAUGAUGAAAUAAUUAUACAACUCACCAUGACAUAAAAUCAGUGGGAGUCUUGAGCUUGUUUUCCUACAACUGGAUGGUCCCAUCUGGGGGUGAUGGGAGACAGUGACAGAUCAUCAGGCAUCACUCUCAUAAUGAGCACACAACCUAGAUCCCUUGCAUGCGCAGUUCACAGUAGGGUUCCUGCUCCUAUGAGAAUCGAAUGCCUCCACUGAUCUGACAGGAGGCGGAGCUCAGGUGGUAAUGCAAGCAAUGGGGAGCAGCUAUAAAUACACAUGAAGCUUUGCCCAACACUCACCUCCUGCUGUGCAACCCGGUACCAGUUGUCACCCAUGGGCUGGGGACUCCUGCUCCAAAGGGUAACAUUUUAACAUUCAGCUUAAAUAAAUUUCACCAAAAAUAUCUCAACAAUUCAAAGAGGAGUGUUCCUGACACCAGAUCACUUUAUUCAACAGAGCAGCUCCCAAAGUCAUGAAGUACUACUUGGUUUAAAAAUAAAGCUGUUUUUCCCACGUACACACAUUCAACAAAACUAUCUUUGGUAUUACUUUACUGAGUGAGGUUUAAAGGAGUUUGGGAAAAUAUUACAGCCUUCUUCCUUUUCCCAAUGCUAAAAGUUUUGUGUAUUUUUUCCACAUGCAUUUCUUUGUUCAUAUAUAUUUUAAAAAGUCUAAACAAUUAGGAUAUUGUAUCUUUUGCUCUGUAAUUUUUUUUCCUCAUCAGCCUCUUCUCAGGCCAACAUAUACAUAUCUAACAUUCUUUUUAGUGGUGAGAGAAUAUUCUAUAAUAUUACAUGUAUGUACCAUAAUUUAUUCAACCAUUUACUUGCUAAUUAACAUUUAGAUUUCCAGUUUUUUUUUUUUUUUUUUUUUCAUUUUUAUUUUUUGAGACAGACUUUUGCUCUGUCACCCAGGCUGGAGUGCAGUGGCAUGAUCUCGGCUCACUGCAACCUCCACCUCCUGGGUUCAAGUGGUUCUCCUGCCUCAGCCUCCUGAGUAGCUGGGACUACAGGCACACAACCCCAUACUCCACUAAUUUUUGUAUUUUUAGUAGAGAUGGGUUUCACCAUGUUGGCCAGGCUGGCCACAAACUCCUGACCUCAAGUGACCUGUGCUUGCUUCAGCCUCCUAAAGUGCUGAGAUUACAGGUGUGAGCCAACACAUCUGGCCUCUAGAAUAUGUUUCAAUAAACAUCUGUGUCCUUACAUUUUUAUGCAUGGAAGCUUUUAUUUUUAUAAUUUCUCAGAAGGUUGUUCACUGAAAGUUAUGUGUAUUUGAUUUUAAUUCACACCCAGAUAACUUUGCCAGCAAUGUUUCUGCCAAUUUCCUUGCAUCUUCACCAAAAUGGAUAUUGUCACUAUUUAACCUUAAACCAAUCUGAUAAAAACUAGUAUUACAGUAAUACUUUUUAAAAAACAAUCCAUUAACCCUUAUAAUGAAGAUGAACACACUUUAUAUUUGUUGACUUUUUCAAUGUCCUGUUCUGUGAAUUGCUUAUUCACAGUGUGACCACUUCUCCAAUAACUUAAACUUCUCUUUGUAUACAGGGACACUGACAUGUUUCCUAUUACUAUACAAAUAUUUCUUCUAGUCUACUUGUUGUUUUAACUUUGACUGUGGUCCCUGCCAUAUGACAUUUAAAUUUUUUAUUAAGUAAAAUAUGUCUGUGUUUCCAAUCUUGUUAAAAAGAUCACUUCCACCCUAAGGUUGUAUAGACUUUUCUUUGAAUGUGUCUUUGUAUUGUGUUUCCAUUGUUGGGACCAAUGUGAGAAAUUUCUGCAAUUCUUCUAAAAAAUAUUUUUUUUUUCAAAGAAGGGAGGGCAAGGGCAAAGAGCAAGAAAGGAGGAUGGAGAUGACUGGUCCAUGGUUUUAGUUAAGAAAAAUCCUAGAUAUCAGAAAAUAAGAUUUGUUAAUGUUGUGAAUCCUUAUAUGAUCACAAAGCCACAUUCUUAGGAAACACACAAUUAAAAAAUGUAUUUUGAUGUAUCCACUCCAUUAAUGUGGAUAAUGAAAUUUUACAUAUAUGUAUAUCAUUUUAUAUUUAAACAUUUCAACAAUUUUUAUUCCCACCUUCCUUGAAUGCUGCUUACCUAUCAACUUAAAAAGACGGUAGAAAAGAACAGGGUAUUCGGGAAAGUUAUUCCAUCCUCCUUACAUUAACCAAAUACAAAUAUGGAAAUUCUUGAUUUUAAAAUGUCACAUAUUUUAAGUCAGCUAAAUUGGCAACGAUAUUAAAACAAUAGUAUACCCCCUAAAAAAGUUUCUGCAUGAUUGUUUAUUUAAAAUAUUAUGACUCUGGAUGUAAAUACAUAUGGGCUUACAUAAUGUAUGAUUAUCCA
rnacentral:lncRNA from 10 species